rnacentral:rRNA from 1 species
GAUGAACGCUGGCGGCGUGCCUAAUACAUGCAAGUCGAGCGAACAGACGAGGAGCUUGCUCCUCUGACGUUAGCGGCGGACGGGUGAGUAACACGUGGAUAACCUACCUAUAAGACUGGGAUAACUUCGGGAAACCGGAGCUAAUACCGGAUAACAUGUUGAACCGCAUGGUUCAACAGUGACAGACGGUCUUGCUGUCACUUAUAGAUGGAUCCGCGCCGCAUUAGCUAGUUGGUAAGGUAACGGCUUACCAAGGCAACGAUGCGUAGCCGACCUGAGAGAGUGAUCGACCACACUGGAACUGAGACACGGUCCAGACUCCUACGGGAGGCAGCGGUAGGGAAUCGUCCGCAAUGAGCGAAAGCCUGACGGAGCAACGCCGCGUGAGUGAAGAAGGUCUUCGGAUCGUAAAACUCUGUUAUUAGGGAAGAACAAAUGUGUAAGUAACUAUGCACGUCUUGACGGUACCUAGUCAGAAAGCCACGGCUAACUACGUGCCAGCCGCCGCGGUAA